rnacentral:rRNA from 1 species
GUAGGUGGCAAGCGUUGUCCGGAAUUAUUGGGCGUAAAGCGCGCGCAGGCGGUUCUUUAAGCCUGAUGUGAAAGCCCACGGCUCAACCGUGGAGGGUCAUUGGAAACUGGAGAACUUGAGUACAGAAGAGGAAAGCGGAAUUCCACGUGUAGCGGUGAAAUGCGUAGAGAUGUGGAGGAACACCAGUGGCGAAGGCGGCUUUCUGGUCUGUAACUGACGCUGAGGCGCGAAAGCGUGGGGAGCAAACAGGGAUUAGAUACCCUGGUAGUCCACGCCGUAAACGAUGAGUGCUAAGUGUUAGGGGGGUUUCCGCCCCCUUAGUGCUGCAGCUAACGCAUUAAGCACUCCGCCUGGGGAUACGGCCGCAAGGCUG